AAAAAAACAAAUGACGAAGACAAGUGGUGUAGACAACAAACAGAUGUAAUAGUAUAACGCUCGGGAAGUGAACAAGUCUUUAACGUUUCGAGCCUAUGCUCUUCCACAGAAAGGAACACAGAGAACGAAACAAGGAGAGGAAGUAAAAAAAGUGUAGUGG